UUGUCAUCCUGAGCAAAGCGAAGGACCUUAUCAGGUUAGAACGACCAUCUUUGUGACGACUCGUUCUAACCUGAUAAGGUCCUUCGCUUUGCUCAGGAUGACAG
rnacentral:misc_RNA from 1 species